UGACCACACAAAAGGCCAAGAGGUCAUGGUCAGGGAGGAAACCAAACGAUCGACUCGCCUGGCAAAGAGGAUCGACCACCUAAACUCGCCUGAGGUUCACACGUCACCCACGUGCUCGGACGAAACCAAACCAAACAGGGUGCCGACUUUCGGCAAAAAGCCAAUUGAGUGAUCUUGGAUCUUAGGAGGCAGUGGCAAAUGGCUUCAAAAAACAUUGCCAAGAAAACUGCAGGGACUUGUCCAAGCCUUCUCCAAACUGGCACCAAAGGGGGGAAAAGCUACAUGAGGAGCAAUAAAAACAGAAUACCAGUUGAAGAUACUGGAACAGAUAAAAGGGAAAGGAAACAAGCCAUGGCAGUUUGAUUGUGAGUGUAUUCUGACCCACUUCACUGACCAUUUGAUUGGUGGCAGAGUCAGGUGACCAUAAAGGAUGGGAUUAACUUGAGACAUAGUACAGGUGGUCUUCGAUUUAUGAAGUUAUGACAGAAAAGGCAAAAAUUUAGAGUCUACUGGACAACUUUUGAACUACAUCGGAAAACUUGCAGGCUGUUCCACUCUACUUAUUACAGGUUUAACUGAUUUGUGAACUGAAAUGGACUUUUACUCUGGUACUUUCCAAUGCAAACUUCCUACCAAAGAAACCAACUGCAUGC